UUACAAUGGCAGGUACANCGGGAAGCCACCGGGCGACCGGGCGCGGACCCGAAAACCUGUCUCAGUUCGGAUCGGAGUCUGCAACCCGACUCCGUGAAGCUGGAUUCGCUAGUAAUCGCGCAUCAGCCACGGCGCGGUGAAUACGUCCCCGGGCCUUGUACACACCGCCCGUCAAGCCAUGGGAGCCGGGGGUGCCUGAAGUCCGUGACCGCAAGGGGCGGCCUAGGGUAAAACCGGUGACUGGGGCUAAGUCGUAACAAGGUACC
rnacentral:rRNA from 1 species